UCUCUGUCAGUACCUUCCCCCACUGUCUCCUGCUAUGGUCUGAAUGUUUGUGCCCCCCACUCCCCUGCCAAAUUUAUAUGUUGAUACCAAAUCCCCAGUGCAAUCAUCUUAAGAGGUGGAGCCUUUGAGAGGUGAUUAGGUCAUGAAGGCUCUGCCCUCAUGAAUGGGUUUAGAGCUCUUACAAAAGAGGCUUGACAGAGCUUGUUUGCCCCUUCCCCUUCUGCCAUGUGAGGAACAUACAAGGCAUCAUCUAUGAGGAAUGAGCCCUCACCAGACACUAAAUCUGCUGGCACCUUGAUCUUGGACUUUCCAGCCUCCAGAAUGGGCAAUCACUGAAAUGUAAAGGAAUGAGCACAGUGUCCUGCUUUGUUUAUCUGAGAACCACCAGCAGCUCCCAGACACUUCUGUUUUCUUCUUGAAAGACAGAAAGAGAGAAUCCGGCUGUAUUUGCUCCAAGGGUCAAUCCCUUCUUCUGUCUUCCACAUUCUCUCCUGCUGGGCUCUUCCUUCUUCUGAAACAUUCCCUCUUCAACGUCUAGGAUGACCUCUCUCACUUCAAGUCCUUUCGAAAGUCAAACAUUUCCCGCGGGUUGGCCUCCUUUGGCGCUCCACUUCCUUUCUUUCUUUGAACUGGGGAGGCAAGAAGACAGUCGAAGCGGAGCCAGAAGGCCAAGCUUAGCUUCACGGUGCCUGAUGUCCUGUAAAAGGGGACACCAUGUGGAAAAGCCGAGAGAGUUCCAGGAGUAGGAUUCAAGACAUUCUGCUUUCUGCUGGUGACAAGAUCCACAGGUGGUCUGCAGGACUGGAGUAAGCCUGGAGAAGCCUUACGGACCCUCCACACCUAACACUAGCUUGAGGCCAGGCUCCCCGUCUCCCUCUCCAGCACGCUCUUCUCUGUACACAGGACCUCUUUGGUGCCUCCCAAUCCUGAUGUAUCCAGUCUCACUCCAUAAGUUCAUUGGAAAGAAGAGUGAAGAGAGAACCAAGGGAGCAGAGACUCAAGAAAGAGAAGAGAGCUUCAUAUGUCACACUCCCAGGGAGUAUAAGGAGUGUGUGUCCAACUCCUCCACCCGUAGCUGGGAAAGUUGGAAUAAUUCUAACCUCUUUGUGUGUGAUAACUCCUCAAAUUCUAGCAUGGUAUAAUAGAGGCUUGUUGUAAGAAUUAGAUGAGAUGAUCUAUAAAAGCUCUUGUAAUAUUUUACUGGCUUUAUAAAUGUCAACUAUUGUCAUUAAAGUAUAUAUAAGCUCUUGCUUUUCCUAGUA